rnacentral:rRNA from 1 species
GACGAACGCUGGCGGCGUGCUUAACACAUGCAAGUCGAACGGAAAGGCCCUGCUUUUGUGGGGUGCUCGAGUGGCGAACGGGUGAGUAACACGUGAGUAACCUGCCCUUGACUUUGGGAUAACUUCAGGAAACUGGGGCUAAUACCGGAUAGGAGCUCCUGCUGCAUGGUGGGGGUUGGAAAGUUUCGGCGGUUGGGGAUGGACUCGCGGCUUAUCAGCUUGUUGGUGGGGUAGUGGCUUACCAAGGCUUUGACGGGUAGCCGGCCUGAGAGGGUGACCGGCCACAUUGGGACUGAGAUAGGGCCCAGACUCCAACGGGAGACAGCGGUGGGGAAUAUUGCACAAUGGGGGGAAGCGUGAUGCAGCAACGCCGCGUGCGGGAUGACGGCCUUCGGGUUGUAAACCGCUUUCGCCUGUGACGAAGCUUGAGUGACGGUAAUGGGUAAAGAAGCACCGGCUAACUACGUG